GCCUCGGUGAUGCAGUGGUAGUAGCACGUCCCCUGUAUGGAUGAAACGCGGGUUCGAUUCCCUACUGAGGCC